GACCGGGGCACGAACCCGUGUCCCCUGCAUCGGCAGGCGGACUCUCAACCACUGCACCACCAGGGAAGCCCCAGAGCUGUAUUUUUGUCUGGGUUGGAAGCAAUAAGAUAACAUGGGAGACAUACACCUGAGAUCACUUAAGACACAGAGAAAUCCAUGAGGAACAGUGCCAUUGGAAUGUUGACGCAGAAGUUCCAGAGGAAAUAAACCUCCGAAAGUGUGGAGAUUGGGAGCAGGUUAAUCAUCCCGUGAGAGUUACUAAUGACUGUCUGGAUGGCAGACGGCAAACGGGGAGCACAUUGACAGUACGCGGGCCGCUCACUGUUGUGGCCUCUCCCGUUGCGGAGCACAGGC